AUAUCUCUCCGUACGGGAAGGAUGAGAAGCUUCGACCAAGGUUCGAUUCGAGCGCAGCGAGAACGCGUUGCCGCAGGCAACGACCCGAAGGGCGAAGCGCGCAGCGCUGAGUCAUCCUUCCCCCACCACCA
rnacentral:sRNA from 4 species